UUGACCUCAGAUCAGGUGGGACUACCCGCUGAACUUAAGCAUAUCAAUAAGCGGAGGAAAAGAAACUAACAAGGAUUCCCCUAGUAACUGCGAGUGAAGCGGGAAAAGCUCAAAUUUAAAAUCUGGCGUCUUCGGGCGUCCGAGUUGUAGUUUAGAGAAGCGUUUUCCGCGCUGGACCGUGUACAAGUCUCCUG
rnacentral:rRNA from 1 species